rnacentral:rRNA from 1 species
CCACCCUUUGUUGUUAUAACUACCUCGUUGCUUUGGCGGGACCGUUCGGUCUCGAGCUGCUGGUCUUCGGCCCGGCAAGUGCCCGCCAGAGUCUACUCAAACUCUUGUUUUAACCGGUCGUCUGAGUUAAACUUUUAAUUAAAUUAAAACUUUCAACAACGGAUCUCUUGGUUCUCGCAUCGAUGAAGAACGCAGCGAAAUGCGAUAAGUAAUGUGAAUUGCAGAAUUCAGUGAAUCAUCGAAUCUUUGAACGCACAUUGCGCUCCCUGGUAUUCCGGGGAGCAUGCCUGUUCGAGCGUCAUUACACCACUCAAGCACUGCUUGGUAUUAGGCCAUCGUCCCCCGCAAGGUGGGCGUGCCUCAAACACCUCGGCGGAGCCUCACCGGCUUUGGGCGUAGUAGAAUUUCUCAACGUCUUAUAAGUACCGGUCUGACUCUUUUGCCGCUAAACACCAAACUUUUAAAGGUUGACCUCGGAUCAGGUAGGGAUACCCGCUGAACUUAAGCAUAUCAAUAAGCGGAGGA